GCCGCGGUAGGAUAACUUGGUAUUCCGGCAGAUUGACACCCUGCUGCUCGAAAGAGCUUCUGGGUUCAAAUCCCAGCCGCGGCG
rnacentral:tRNA from 1 species